UCCUACUGACCUAAGAAUUUUACCUAUACGCCGACGUGUCUGGACCAACUGGUCCAGUCACAUUCAGUCUCAAUAUUUUCUCUUGAUAUGCUAAAGUGGACAAGUAACAGGGAAAAUCACUACAAAAUAAAGGCGUAAAUUGUGGGAGUUUAAUAGCGAGGGUCAGCCUAACCUCCGCCAAAUUAUAUCAAAUUGCGGGGGUUCAAACCAUCCGCUAUCUUAUUUAUAUAUAUAUAUAUAAAAAAAAAAAAAAGAGAGAGAGAGAUUAUAGUGAAAUAUUUGUACAGGCUUAUUUAUUAAAAGAAAAAGACAUUACAGUCUUUUUUUUUUCUCCCAAAAUAUUUGUACUUCCAAAACACAUAUUUCAUUUCCCUCUCUAACUCCCAAAAUAUUUGUCACUCCUCUCGCUCUCUUUCUCACUCUAGCAGAAGAGAAGAUUAUUCCCUCAUCUAGCUUAUUUUUCGUUCAUCUAUAUUUUUCAACAGUAAGUGUAUUUUUUGCUUCUUCUUCAAUUGUCUCUUUCUUAAGGUUUAUUUUUAUGAAAUUUUAAGUAGAUCGGUGUAGAAUUUACCUUUUUUUUUUUUUUUUUUGUAUGUGUUGCUCAUGUGAAAACAUUAACUUAAAUUUCAAGAGAUUAGCUCAAAUUUCAUGCUUCAUUCUACUUUAAUUUUCUCAAAAUUGAAAUUUUUGUGUGUUUUUGAAUUGCACGUGGUUUUCUCUGUUUAUAAUUGGCGUUUCAAUAUUGUUGAAUUGUAUGUGGUUUUCUCGCUGUUGAUUAUGAUGAAAAGAGGAAAAAGGUUUUUCUUCAUCUUUCAAAUUUGUUUUGUGCUUUGAUUUUAGUUCUCUGUUUUAACUUACUUCGAUUUUACUUUGAUUUUAGUUUUCUACUUCGAUUUUAGAAUGAAGCUUCGAUUUACUUCGAUUUUAAAUGAAGCUUUAUGUUUGUAUUUACUUUGAUUUUAGUUUUUUGUUUAGAUUCUACUUCAAUUUUAGAUUUCUGCUUCAAUCUAAUUCGAAAUCUAGAACGAAGCUUUAUGUUCGUAUUUUAAGCUUCAGUUUACUUCAUCUUUUCGCAUAGAUAUUGUUCGAUUUCAUAUUGGUAUUGUAUUUCGCAUAGAUGUUGGUCUUUUAUUCAUCUUGCAUGUUCAAUUUUCUGUGUUGCUUUAUAUUGUUCUCUUCUUACAGGUUAGAGUCUCUCUAUAAUUUGCUUCCUUUGUCUCUCAAGCUUUAGGUUAAAUUUUGCUCUGUUUUGUAAUUUUUAAUACUUGGCUGAAUGUUAGUUUAUUUUUGAAGGAAAUCGUGCUUCAGUAAUGUGUAGCUUGUGGAUGAUUUGUUUAAUUUCUUUGUUGAAGAAUUCUGUGAUGAAUGUUGACCGAUGUUAGUUUAGUUUUGUUGAGGAUUCAUACUGUGCACCCUUAACUACUUAGGAUGUGAAUUUAUUUAUGAGGACAUAUAUUUUCAUAGCAUCAUUAUUUAAUUAAUUCUUUACUUCCAGUUGUACAACCAAACAACUUUAGCUGUAAUUGCACAAAGUUUAAAGAGAAUUUGUCAAAUGUACAAGUGAUUUUCAGUCUAUUCUUCAUAAUCUAUAUAUUUUCUUUUCCCAUAGACCUGCCUGAUUAUGAAAGCAUCAACUUAGUUUUAAGGGAUUUUCUCAAAAUGUAUAACUUUGCAAGCUUGGCAAAUGUUCUGGUAAAUAUGAUCCUACUCCUAGCCUUGAAACUUUCUGAAUGUAACAAAGUUUCAAAAUUUUAACCCUCUUCAUAGUCAUUUGGUUUGAUGAUCGAAUGUUCACUAAGCUUUCUAGAUGAACUAUUAACUUCACCGAAUAUAUAUAUAUAUAUAUAUACAGUGCACCCUUAACUGCUCCCUGUAUUUUUUUUUGGUUAAGUUUGUUUCCCGUGGUUAAGUAUUAUUCAGUGAGCCUAGAAGGUCCCUAGAUGUGGUUAUAAAGGUAUAAGCUCUAUAAUUUUACAACCAUAUCUUUAUUAUUUAUCUUUAGACUUUAUAUUUGCAUGUAAAAGUAUAAGCUCAAUCAGUACAUUGUUCCGUUCUGUAAUUUUAGUAUCUGCUGGUUAUGGACUAAUUUAAACUAAUUUCAAAUUUAAAUCGAAUUUUAUGUUCUUAUUUUUUCCAAGUCUUUGCUAAAUACUUCAACUAUCGAAAUCAAGAAGUUAUAAUUGGUCAAAUGCUUUUCAUUUCAUGAAGUAAAUAUGUGGUUCUUAUCUUUAAACCUUUCAAGGUAUUUCUUUUUUCCUUUAUAGUAACUGGAUGUUAUCCUUUUAUAGGAAACUACUAUGUCUUCCCUAUUCCUUUUGGGUUCUGAUUGUUAGGAAGCUAGGAGAUCCAAAUUUUAGGUUGGGUUUUUCUAAUUUGGAGUCUAAGAGGGAACGAUAGGUGCUUUUGUGUUUUUGGGGUGGCUUUCUUGAAUUGGAACAUGUGUGCUCUUGCUGUUAGAAUAUCACCCCUGGAAACAUAAGAAAUAAUCAUAUGGAAGACCAUAUUAACUCCUCUAUUAUUCUAUAAGAAACUGUAGAGUUUCUACUAGUUUGGCAUACUUGAUAUCUCUAAAUCAUAGUUGGGAUAUGGAUGUCAGUGGGUGAAUCACUAAAUUUAUCCCAUUUUCGCAACUUGAAAUGCUCGUUAGAUAUUUGUAUUUAACCUGUGUAGUUAAGGUUCUCUGCUUUCUUGCUUCUGAGUUCUGAUCAUACUAUUAGAAGUGAAUUUAACUUUCAUAUUAAAUUAAUUUGCAAGUGAUGUAUUUUAUGGAUAAUGGGCACAACUGUGCAAUAUGUACUCCUCUUGUCUUCAUUUGCAGAUUACCGUUGUUGAAGCCGAGUGAUGCAGCUAACUGUUAGCUGAUCCAUGGAUACAAGAUUUUCUAACUCUAAUAAUCAUGUAAUAUGAUUAGUUGACUAAAGUGAUUUUUUGACGAUUUCAGCUUAGUAUUUUGUAGUUUAAUAAAACGUUGAUAUUUCUCAAUUUUGAUAUUCUAGUUUAGUGUUAAAUAUAUCCAGAUCUGUCUUAGAAAAAAGUUGAGAAAAUACAUAACCCCCCCCCCCCCCCCCCCCCCCUCAACGUAUAUUCAGAUUAAUUAUGACGCACCCAACCUUUGCAGGCGAUCUAUUACUGCCCUAGCUUUAUUUUUUCUGUAUUUUUGUACUUUUUUUGGUUGACAUGGCACAAUCAAAAUUUGAUGUCCAGUUGCACAGUAGAGAGUGUUGCACGCUCUCCGCCUGAUGUGCCGUGAAAUUACGGGAUAUUCGAUUCUAAUUUCUUAAGCUUUUGUAACUCUUCAAGCACUUUUUUGGUGUUACUUUUCGUGUGUUUUUGUCAUUUUGUAGGAAACGAUAUUCGGAAAGCAUAACGGAGCAAAAUGAAGGAAAAUAGGCCAAGGACACACUUUGCACAACAUGUGAGCCGCAUGUCAUGUCUGCGGAUCCACAAUUCCACCGCAUAGCAUGACAGGCCACUCGCAUGAAAGGUUGUGCAAUUUACAAGAUCAACAUGCGACUCGCAUGUUGAACUUGCGAGACAACAGUGUUAACGCAAACCUUGUCCGAAAUCUGGGAAGCCUGAAGUCAAGAGCAUAACAUGCGGCUGCUGAGCAUGUUUCGCGUCUCGCAUGAUUGUCUUGCAACACAACAUGCGAGACGCACGUUGCGCACGUAGGGUUUUUUUUUUUUUUUUUGUAUAAUAUUGGUUUUCUAUUCAGUUUUAUGUGAUUUAGAAGUGAUCGGAAGAAACCAAGUGAAAAUAAAGUCAAAAAGAGGCCAAACUGGACAGUUUUGCAAAAACGGGACAGAUUUGCAAAACUGAAACUUUGGGGUUUAUUUUGUCAUAUUUUGACUUGGGAAAGUUGAGGAGCUACAAAAGAGAGACUUGAGGCAUAUCAUUUUCAUCUUUGGCCAUUUUCAUCAAGCUUGGAGAGCUAGGUUUUUGCAUCCACACUUUGGGAUUGAAGAUUUUGAUAAGAAAUUUCUUAAUCCUUUACUCA